rnacentral:rRNA from 1 species
UACGAAGGGGACUAGCGUUGUUCGGAAUCACUGGGCGUAAAGCGCACGUAGGCGGAUAUAUAAGUCAGGGGUGAAAUCCCGGGGCUCAACCUCGGAACUGCCUUUGAUACUGUGUAUCUCGAGUCCGAUAGAGGUAAGUGGAAUUCCUAGUGUAGAGGUGAAAUUCGUAGAUAUUAGGAAGAACACCAGUGGCGAAGGCGGCUUACUGGAUCGGUACUGACGCUGAGGUGCGAAAGCGUGGGGAGCAAACAGG